ACGCUGGCGGCAGGCCUAACACAUGCAAGUCGAGCGGUAGAGAGAAGCUUGCUUCUCUUGAGAGCGGCGGACGGGUGAGUAAUGCCUAGGAAUCUGCCUGGUAGUGGGGGAUAACGUUCGGAAACGGACGCUAAUACCGCAUACGUCCUACGGGAGAAAGCAGGGGACCUUCGGGCCUUGCGCUAUCAGAUGAGCCUAGGUCGGAUUAGCUAGUUGGUGAGGUAAUGGCUCACCAAGGCGACGAUCCGUAACUGGUCUGAGAGGAUGAUCAGUCACACUGGAACUGAGACACGGUCCAGACUCCUACGGGAGGCAGCAGUGGGGAAUAUUGGACAAUGGGCGAAAGCCUGAUCCAGCCAUGCCGCGUGUGUGAAGAAGGUCUUCGGAUUGUAAAGCACUUUAAGUUGGGAGGAAGGGUUGUAGAAUAAUACUCUGCAAUUUUGACGUUACCGACAGAAUAAGCACCGGCUAACUCUGUGCCAGCAGCCGCGGUAAUACAGAGGGUGCAAGCGCUAAUCGGAAUUACUGGGCGUAGAGCGCGCGUAGGUGGUUUGUUAAGUUGGAUGUGAAAUCCCCGGGCUCAACCUGGGAACUGCAUUCAAAACUGACUGACUAGAGUAUGGUAGAGGGUGGUGGAAUUUCCUGUGUAGCGGUGAAAUGCGUAGAUAUAGGAAGGAACACCAGUGGCGAAGGCGACCACCUGGACUAAUACUGACACUGAGGUGCGAAAGCGUGGGGAGCAAAC
rnacentral:rRNA from 1 species